CGUGCCCUUCUGAGUAGAGCCCAGCUGACUGCACCUUACACAUAUGUAGUCGGGGAAGUCAGGGGCCACCAACCCAGUGGGGUUGGCCUGUGCUUCUGACUCUGGAAGAAAGAAAUCUAGGUGGAUGUCCUGGAAAACCGUUACAUAUGCAGAGACAAUUAUAAAAGAUGAAUGCAGAACCAUGGUGCCCGGACGACAGGGCUGGGCUUCCCGCUUCUGACUCCACCUAUGAGACCCUCGACUCCUCAGUGUCUCUUUCUCACCCACUCCUGGCUAUUGAGAACAAGGGUUUCGAACCACACCAGCAGUGCUCAGGAGCUAUUCUGUCUCUGUGUUCAUAUGGCCAUGCACUGGGGGCCAGGGGAGGUGCCGAGGAUUGAUCUGGGUUCAACUGUCUGCAAGGAAAGCACCUGAACCCCUGGACUAUCUCUUCAGCCCUGACCACAAAUCCUUAUUUUGUGAACUUGUGAAGCCCAGCUCUCCUGGCAGCUGUCCAGUCUUCGAGAUGGGGUCCUGAAGACUCUCAUUUCCUCUACGUUUGGCCGGCCCCCACCGCCCCCAGCAACGCAGCUUCAAGUGAAGGACCCCGACUCCAGCCCUCCACUGGGGAAGCAUCCCAGGUGUGCAGAAGGUCAAGAAUUCUUGGAGAACUUUGCUGCCUGUACUCUGCGCUGGGGACCCCAGGUGAUUUCCCUCCUGGGAAAGAUGUGGAGGACACUAGGAUAGGCCUGCCUUGUUCUGGAUUCGGGCAGUGUGUUUCUCAGAGAACUUGAAAAUUAAACCUGAGACCUAGCACCCCAGUGGGUCUUGAACCCAGGUCCUUGGACACCCUAACAGGGUGCCUGGAAGCACAGGAGCCACUCCCAAGCCUGCCACUAGAAACUCUCCAGGUCACUGCAGGCACAAAAGAUUUCCAAGUCCAGACAAACGAAAAGAAGAAGCUGAAACCACUGCUGCUAUCUCUAAGGAUGCUAAUUGAAGCAUGGUCUCUCCACCACCGCCUCACUGCUGAUGUCACAUUUGCUGUCUUGAGGGUGCUGGUCAUCCACAGAGCGAAGAGUCUCAGGAUCUCCUUCAGGAUUCCAGAUGGUUCUCUCACUAACGAUCACUGUCUCGACAUAAAAGGACUGCACUCAUUUGUGGAGUAUAGAAUAACAUCACAUGAGACUGGCACCCAAGGACAGUAGAUACAAGGGCCAGGGGGAUUGCCCCAUAGCUGGAAGACUGCUUCAUGAGUGGAGGAGAGAAGGCAAAUGGAAUAGAGAAGAGAUCACUAAGAAAAUGAUGGUUGGGAUGGGAGAUGUGUGCCGAAAGUAGAUAAUGGACCAAACAUGAUGGCCUCUCAGUGUCUGUGUUGCAAGCCAUAAUGCCCAAAAGUAGAGAGAAAGUAUGGGGAAU